UACUCCUACGGGAGGCAGCAGUGGGGAAUAUUGGACAAUGGGCGCAAGCCUGAUCCAGCCAUACCGCGUGGGUGAAGAAGGCCUUCGGGUUGUAAAGCCCUUUUGUUGGGAAAGAAAUCCAGCUGGUUAAUACCCGGUUGGGAUGACGGUACCCAAAGAAUAAGCACCGGCUAACUUCGUGCCAGCAGCCGCGGCAAUACGAAGGGUGCAAGCGUUACUCGGAAUUACUGGGCGUAAAGCGUGCGUAGGUGGUCGUUUAAGUCCGUUGUGAAAGCCCUGGGCUCAACCUGGGAACUGCAGUGGAUACUGGACGACUAGAGUGUGGUAGAGGGUAGCGGAAUUCCUGGUGUAGCAGUGAAAUGCGUAGAGAUCAGGAGGAACAUCCAUGGCGAAGGCAGCUACCUGGACCAACACUGACACUGAGGCACGAAAGCGUGGGGAGCAAACAGGAUUAGAUACCCUGGUAGUCCACGCCCUAAACGAUGCGAACUGGAUGUUGGGUGCAAUUUGGCACGCAGUAUCGAAGCUAACGCGUUAAGUUCGCCGCCUGGGGAGUACGGUCGCAAGACUGAAACUCAAAGGAAUUGACGGA
rnacentral:rRNA from 1 species